UGGCCAACGCGCCGGGAUCUGAAGAAAGAACUCAGGCACGUUCUCCAUGGAGAUGGGAGGACUUCCCAGUGCUUGAAGGAAGUAAAAAAGAAGCAAACCCCCCCAAAAGCUUGAAGGAAGCAAAAGGUGGUCAUGAAGACAGAGGUCCUCCUUGGAGGAAAAUUGUGGCUUUUGACCAAUUCUGCUCAGAAACGUCCCCAUCCACGAUGGCUGUGCCUCUUCUCAGACCUUGUUGACUUUAUCAUCCCAGGAGAAGUGUCUCGGGCCACCCAGCUGAGAAGGAACGCUCGGAUGAAGGAGAAGAGCCCAAGCGUGUCCGUAGGAGGAAGAUGACUUAAGCCUUCAGCCCUUAUCUGCAACCAGCGAGAGCGUGAAGAGGAAAGCUGCUCGGAAUGAAAAGCUCCAAGAAAACAGGCUUCACGUAUUUCAUGGCUCACGGAAUUAUGUGUUUUCAAACUUUGGGUUUUUUUUUCUUCUGCCUGAACAGAAUUCUUGGGUUUUCAGCCAACUUUAAUGAAAGCAGAGGAAAGAAGCGCCGUAAAAGUGGAAUAAUGGCUAUAUUCUACUCAGCAUUCGGCAAGAUGUUUGGAUAGUAUGGGUCAGGUCUUCCAGUGCCCGGUGUAUUUGCCAAAAAUUCCCAAAUCUUCAUCUGCAUUUACGUGAUUCUUUCACCGAGGUUAACCCAUUGGGUUUUGGAUGGAAAAACUCCAGGAACCUCCCCAGACAGACGCAGGAGGCUGCAGGACA